CCUACGGGAGGCUGCAGUGGGGAAUAUUGGACAAUGGGGGGAACCCUGAUCCAGCCAUACCGCGUGUGUGAAGAAGGCCCUCGGGUUGUAAAGCACUUUCAGUGAGGAAGAACGCCUGGUGGUUAAUACCCAUCAGGAAAGACAUCACUCACAGAAGAAGCACCGGCUAACUCCGUGCCAGCAGCCGCGGUAAUACGGAGGGUGCGAGCGUUAAUCGGAAUUACUGGGCGUAAAGCGCGCGUAGGUGGCUUGAUAAGCCGGUUGUGAAAGCCCCGGGCUCAACCUGGGAACGGCAUCCGGAACUGUCAAGCUAGAGUGCAGGAGAGGAAGGUAGAAUUCCCGGUGUAGCGGUGAAAUGCGUAGAGAUCGGGAGGAAUACCAGUGGCGAAGGCGGCCUUCUGGACUGACACUGACACUGAGGUGCGAAAGCGUGGGUAGCAAACAGGAUUAGAUACCCCUGUAGUC
rnacentral:rRNA from 1 species